rnacentral:rRNA from 1 species
GUCUCAGUUCGGAUUGAAGGCNGAAAUUCGCCUUCAUGAAGCCGGAAUUGCUAGUAAUGGCAGGUCAGCAUACUGCCGUGAAUACGUUCCCGGGCCUUGUACACACCGCCCGUCACACCAUGAGAGUUGGGAAUACCCGAAGCCUGUGAGCUAACUUUUAGAGGCAGCAGUCGAAGGUAGAAUCAAUGAUUGGGGUGAAGUCGUAACAAGGUAGC